rnacentral:lncRNA from 1 species
AAUAUACAGCAAUACUAUUCUCUUUUUUGAGAGAUAGGUAGCACGCUAUCCGCUUCGUUUAUUUUAUUUAGAAAUAAACUUAGCUGGAAAUGUGAAUCAACUGGGAUUCGAACUUCGAUCUCAGAUACCAACCACCAAGCCCUUUGUCACUUGCUCUAGGGACGGUCGACUACAGCAAUACUAUUCAUACACCCCAUUUUAGGAUGCAUAAUUUUUACCCACCUAUCCAAUAAAUGUUUUUUUUUUACUUAUCACAUGACGUGUCAAAUAAUAUAAUUUUUUGGCUAAAUUUCAGAAAACCUCUUUAUAAAUACUUAUUUUUUUUUACUUUUUCUCUCUAAUUUUUAAAAAUCUAUAUUUUACUCGCUCUCAAUAUUUCAAGUUGGUACAUUUAGCUAGACGGGCAAAUAAGCAAGCCAGCUUGUAUUCGGUUCGCAUUCGGCUCGUUCGAACUCGACUCGAAAUUAAAUGAGCCAAACUUGAACUAAAAAAGAAAUUCAAAAUUUAUUUCAAACCAGCUUGAGUAUUACUGGGCUCCCUCGAAAAGCGCAUGUGUGUUAUAUAUAGAACUAGGCUAUAAUACUAUCAAUAGCAGCAAGCUAUUGUGCUAUUAAUUUUUUAACCCUUGGAUUGAGAGGUUAGGAUGAUAUAGGGCUCCUAAGGUUGAGUGAGUGGUUGGUUGAAUAGUAUAAUCUAACUGGUUAAAAUAAUCAAAAGAUUAAAUUUAACGGUGAAAAACUCGAUAGUACCAAAUCCUUUAUACUAUCGAUAGUAUCCCAGCUCUCUCUCUCUUU